rnacentral:rRNA from 1 species
GAUGAACGCUGGCGGCGUGCCUAAUACAUGCAAGUCGAGCGAACAGACGAGGAGCUUGCUCCUCUGACGUUAGCGGCGGACGGGUGAGUAACACGUGGAUAACCUACCUAUAAGACUGGGAUAACUUCGGGAAACCGGAGCUAAUACCGGAUAAUAUAUUGAACCGCAUGGUUCAAUAGUGAAAGACGGUUUUGCUGUCACUUAUAGAUGGAUCCGCGCCGCAUUAGCUAGUUGGUAAGGUAACGGCUUACCAAGGCAACGAUGCGUAGCCGACCUGAGAGGGUGAUCGGCCACACUGGAACUGAGACACGGUCCAGACUCCUACGGGAGGCAGCAGUAGGGACUCUUCCGCAAUGGGCGAAAGCCUGACGGAGCAACGUCGCGUGAGUGAUGAAGGUCUUCGGAUCGUAAAACUCUGUUAUUAGGGAAGAACAAAUGUGUAAGUAACUAUGCACGUCUUGACGGUACCUAAUCAGAAAGCCACGGCUAACUACGUG